rnacentral:rRNA from 1 species
GAUGAACGCUAGCUACAGGCUUAACACAUGCAAGUCGAGCGACCCGCGCACGGGUGACUAACAUUUACUCAACCUCCCCUUUACUUGGGGAUAGCCUUUUGAAAGACAUAUUAAUACCCGCUAUGAAGGAUGGGUAUGCUCUCCAUUAGGUUGUGUUUGAGGUCACGGCCCACUGAGCCUUCGAUGGAUAGGGGUUCUGAGAGGAAGGUGACCAACAGUGGAACUGGGACACGGUCGAAACUCCUACGGGAGGCAGCAGUGAGGAAUAUUGGUCAAUGGGAGCUAGCCUGAACCAGCCAAGUAGCGUGAAGGAUGAAGGCUUAUGGGUCGUAAACUUCGUUUAUAUAAGAAUAGGUAUUAUAUGAAUAAGGAUCGGCUAACUCCGUGCCAGCAGCCGCGGUAAUUC